rnacentral:rRNA from 1 species
CCUACGGGAGGCAGCAGUGAGGAAUAUUGGUCAAUGGACGAGAGUCUGAACCAGCCAAGUAGCGUGAAGGAUGACUGCCCUAUGGGUUGUAAACUUCUUUUAUAUGGGAAUAAAAUGUUCCACGUGUGGGCUUUUGUAUGUACCCUAUGAAUAAGGGUCGGCUAACUCCGUGCCAGCAGCCGCGGUAAUACGGAGGAUCCGAGCGUUAUCCGGAUUUAUUGGGUUUAAAGGGAGCGUAGGUGGAUUGUUAAGUCAGUUGUGAAAGUUUGCGGCUCAACCGUAAAAUUGCAGUUGAAACUGGCGGUCUUGAGUGGGCGAGAAGUAGGCGGAAUGCGUGGUGUAGCGGUGAAAUGCAUAGAUAUCAUGCAGAACUCCGAUUGCGAAGGCAGCAUACCGGAGUCCAACUGACGCUGAAGCACGAAAGCGUGGGUAUCGAACAGGAUUAGAUACCCCAGUAGUC